rnacentral:rRNA from 1 species
UACGUAGGGUGCGAGCGUUAAUCGGAAUUACUGGGCGUAAAGCGUGCGCAGGCGGUUCUGUAAGUCAGAUGUGAAAUCCCCGGGCUUAACCUGGGAAUGGCGAUGGAGACUGCGAGGCUAGAGUUUGGCAGAGGGGGGUAGAAUUCCACGUGUAGCAGUGAAAUGCGUAGAGAUGUGGAGGAACACCGAUGGCGAAGGCAGCCCCCUGGGUCAAAACUGACGCUCAUGCACGAAAGCGUGGGGAGCAAACAGG